CGGGUGAGUAACGCGUAGGUAACCUACCUCAUAGCGGGGGAUAACUAUUGGAAACGAUAGCUAAUACCGCAUAAGAGAGACUAACGCAUGUUAGUAAUUUAAAAGGGGCAAUUGCUCCACUAUGAGAUGGACCUGCGUUGUAUUAGCUAGUUGGUGAGGUAAAGGCUCACCAAGGCGACGAUACAUGGCCGACCUGAGAGGGUGAUCGGCCACACUGGAACUGAGACACGGUCCAG
rnacentral:rRNA from 1 species